rnacentral:lncRNA from 1 species
CUUUAGGGAAAGCAGGCCCUGGAACAAGGGAGAUUAAAAAAAGAGCAGAUAAACACAAUUCUGGCCAAUAAGAGAAGAAAUCUGCUGGGGGAUUAUGAGAAAGCUGUCUUUGUUCUUUGAAAACAGACUCACAAAAAUUCUGCAUCCAGUGAUGGCUGAGUAGCUCCCAUUGGGCCAAAACCUCCCACAUGACAAAAUUAUAAAACGCAAUUAUGAAAACACUUGAGAAAGAUCCAAACAGCAUGGAUACUGGGGAGCAGUCAAAGCUUGGAGGAAGGGAAUAGCACUGGAUGUUUGUUUUUAUUUUCUUGGAGCUUUUUGCCUAAGGAAAGCCACCAGCAAAGGUUACGUGAAUGUUUAAGCCCACAGUAGUCCUGGCAUGAAAAACCAGAGGACAGAAUUCUGGUGACCACAAAGCUGGACAGUGAGACAGGAAACCCUGCAAAGAUGAAGCCAUAAACAGGUAACUCCAGAUUCUGUGUCUAGACCCUGUACAUCACUGAACCCCACCUGUGUGGUAUAGACUCCAAGCAGCACAGCCAAGUCUAGAAGAUCUAAAUUAAGAUUUCAGCUCCUAUCCAACAGAGGGGAGACAGCAUUUCCAGUCUGAGAAUUCAGCCAAGUUAACAAACACAAAAAGCAGUAUAUUCAUUGGGAAAAUGAAAGGAAUCCAGAGUCCCUGCACUAUAAAGACACAAUGCUCAGGAUACCAUCCAGAGGUAGUUGACAUGAAAAGAAACAGGAAAAUGGGACCCAUAGAAAGAGAAGCAGAAGUCAACGGAAACCAAGUUCAAGAUGGUCCAGAUGUAAGAAUUAAAGACAAAGACUUUAAAGCAACCAUUAUAACCAUGUUCAAGAACAUAAAUGAAAGUAUGUUCAUAAUGAAUGAAAAGAUAGGAAAUCCAAGGGGAGAAUCAGCAACUAUAAAAAGAUCACAAUGGAAAUUCUGGAACUAAGAAUGUGACAAUUGAAAAAAAGAGACCAAUAAGAAAAAAUAGCCCUUUUUUUCUUUGCCUUUACCACCAUCAGGAUGUGGUGCUUGUUUCGCCACAGUUAUGAGGACAGCUGGCCUAACGAGGCCCAGGCACUAUGCCAUACAUGGCACAGCAAGACAAUGAACAGGACCUGGGUCCUUAAUGAUGUCAUCAAGCCACUAGAUUAACUGCCCGAGGGACUUCUCUGCUACCAGAUUUCUUGUAUUGGGAGAAAAAGAAAAUGUCUUUAUUUAAGCUAUUUCUGUUUGGGUUCUAUGUUACUUAUAUGAGAAAGAAAGCAUCAUAACCCUUGCCCCAAAGUUCACUAAAUGUAUGUCACCACAUCUUCUCUAAGUAAUAUCUAUCGACACACCCAGCAUGCUUAGUUCUGGUGUAGACCCUCGUUUCUGUCUUCUAAAUCUGCAUCAUUCAAGUUUAUCACCUGUAGAACAGCAAAGGCUACAGUCUAUUUUGACCAAAUUGGUGACUUGAAGUCUGCUGGGAAUGCAUUACCAGAAAGUUCAGGUUUGCAAAUUGCCGUUACUCAAAGUGUGAUGUGGGCAGCGUCAGCGUCUCAGCCCAUCCCAGCCUAUUGAAUCAGGGUCUGCACUUCAACAAGAGCCCAGGUGAGUCACGCGCACACUGGAGCUUGAGAAGACUCCUGAGAACUACAAGUGACAAUACAGGUGUUAGCUGUAUGUCACUAAUUAACAAAAAACUUCUUAAUCUGUUCUCAGAGACCUUCACAGAAUCAUUUCAUUUGGUUUUCACAGCAAUACUGAGAGAUUUUUAAAAAUCCAUUUAUAGACAAGGAAAUGAGAUUCAGAGAAGUAAAAUGACAUUUACAUGAUUAUGGAAAGACAGUGCUCUUCUUUGUUCUGAUACUGUGUCGUGGUUUUCAGUGAUUCAGACCUUUGGUGUCCAAACUGGGAGGUAAGUUCUUAGCACCCCACUGACCAUCUUUUUGUAUUCUCUGUUAGGAUUGUGCCUUUUUGUCCCUGAGGAGCACAUGAGCAGCCCCUUCUGUCUGCUUACCAAGGGCCUCAGCCCCUGUGACGGGCCAAGUUCACGGCUAUACCUAAUGAUAUACCUAAUGAUACAGCUAGUGACACAGUAAGUAGCCAUAUUUUAAAUGUUUGUGCUCAAAGUAUAUUUGGUAUUGAAUGCCUUUCCACUCAAUAGAUGAAAAAUGUUGAAACAAAGUUAAAAGUGAAAAUUGCAAGACAAGAUUAUCUGUGACGUACCAGCUAUAAAAAUUGGCCUCAGCUACAUUAGGAAGGGUGAACCUGGACUAGUAUGAUCUUUUCCAUCCAUCCAGAGAGCCCAGCCAUUCUUCAAUUCCAGCCUCCCCCCACCCGGCCUCCUUGACUCCACUGGGCCUCUUGAUUCCACCCUCCUUUCCCUUCUCCCAGCUCCUACUGCACACUCUGGUCCUUGGACAGAGCUGAAUUUCUUUUAAGCACCUGUCCCUUCCACAGGGCCCCCCACAUACGUGCAUCGGUGUCUGGGUUUUUAGGAAUCUUUGUUCUGCGCUCCACAAUGCCCAGCCCCUGUUCCAAAUCACUCACCAGGCCCUUUGGUUCUGUUUCCCAGCUUUCCUCAGCUCUCCCGAACUCCCUGUCCCUUCAGGGCCUCUGUCCAGGGCCUCCUUGUCUCCCUCAGGGACCACUGCACCAUUGCAGCUAUCAGUGCUGUAUCUUUUACUUGCAGCCUUAAGUAAAAGAAAACUCAACAUGGAGUGGCUUGUGCUGUGAGGAAAGUCUACACUUUCUAUUUAGGAAGCAUCCUGUCUAGAAAGCCCUUGGGAAGACUUUCCCUCAGGGUUUGCCAGUUGGGAGGGGCUCACAUGUCCAUGCCUUAGCUGCAGCGGAGGCUGGGACAGCCACCAUAGCGGGACACAGACUCUUCCAGAAGAAGGGAGAGAGGUCAAGGGGCAGCUUCUACUGUGGAUCCAACUCUAUCUGCCUCAAACAUCCCUGCCUUGGCACCGACCCCCCCCCCGUGCCAGCCUUUUCAUACAUUCCUGACACUGCCACUAUUCAUUCAUUUAAUUAAUCACUCACUCAUUACAUUAGGUUCAGCUAGGUUAUAUUGCAGGAACAAUUAAUCUUCUGCAACCAAAGAGUUUCACAAUGAUGUGUUUUUAUGGCCAGGGCAUCAACUGAACUUUCUGUGCCAUGGCAGCAGCAGAAAGAGAGAGUAGAGAUCUACAGUAACUCUUUAAUGCCCCCACCUGAAAUUGACAUGUAUCAGUUCUGCUCACAUCAUACCGGCUAAAGCAAGUCACACGGCCACACUGAACUUUAAAAAGGACAUAGGCACACAAUCAUCUUUUGCAUAGGGCGGGCAGCUUCACCAAGCAUUGGUUGAGCAUCUACUGUAAGCAAGGCUGAUGCUGGAGAAGUGCUAAAAGUCUUUCCAGUCUAGAAGUCUGCCAUCUGCCUUGUGCCCUUGUGCUAACAUGAAGCCUUCCAAUGGACCACCUCCUACAUUUUUGUUGCAAUAAAACAACAAGGAUCUGAAUAGACGACAAAACCUGAAAGAUGUCUCAUCCCUUCUCGCAAGCCUAAUGCUUAGAAUAGUGCUUUGCACUAGUGGAAACUUAAUGUUUGUUUGUUUGUUUGUUUGAGUGGUGCAUGAGAUAGGGUGAACUCACCUACCAGGAACAAGAAGCUGACCCUGAUUUAAACAAAUAUGGUUUGUAUUUUCACAGAGUGAGAAAUCCAGCAGCCACUGCAGCUGGGCUUGUCUGUUCAGCAAAUUCACCCAGGACCCAGACUCUUUCUAGCCUUAGGAGAUCCUCAGCUUUGGAGUUUUUCUCCUUGUGAUUGUGCCUCGUGGUCAUAAGACUGCUGCCACAGCUCUAAAUAGCAUAUUCACACUUAAGGUAAGAAGCAGUAGAAGAGGCUGCAAGG